UUGAAGUCGUAACAAGGUAGCCGUAUCGGAAGGUGCGGCCUGGAUCACCUCCUUUUGAGCAUGACGUCAUCGUCCUGUCGGGCGUCCUCACAAAUUACCUGCAUUCAGAGAUGCGUACCGGCACAGGCCGGUAUGCGAAAGUCCCAUCAUGGGGCCUUAGCUCAGCUGGGAGAGCACCUGCUUUGCAAGCAGGGGGUCGUCGGUUCGAUCCCGACAGGCUCCACCAUUUGAGUGAAACGACUUUGGGUCUGUAGCUCAGGUGGUUAGAGCGCACCCCUGAUAAGGGUGAGGUCGGUGGUUCGAGUCCUCCCAGACCCACCACUCUGAAUGUAGUGCACACUUGAGAAUUUAUAUGGAUCAGCGUUGAGGCUGAGACAUGUUCUUUUAUAACUUGUGACGUAGCGAGCGUUUGAGAUAUCUAUCUAAACGUGUCGUUGAGGCUAAGGCGGGGACUUCGAGUCCCUAAAUAAUUGAGUCGUAUGUUCGCGUUGGUGGCUUUGUAUCCCACACAACACGGCAGAUAGCUCCGAGGCAACUUGGGGUUAUAUGGUCAAGCGAAUAAGCGCACACGGUGGAUGCCUAGGCGGUCAGAGGCGAUGAAGGACGUGGUAGCCUGCGAAAAGUGUCGGGGAGCUGGCAACAAGCUUUGAUCCGGCAAUAUCCGAAUGGGGAAACCCACUGCUUCGGCAGUAUCCUGCAGUGAAUUCAUAGCUGCUGGAAGCGAACCCGGUGAACUGAAAUAUCUAAGUAACCGGAGGAAAAGAAAUCAACCGAGAUUCCCUAAGUAGUGACGAGCGAACGGGGAGCAGCCCUUAAGCUGGAAUGGCUUUAGAAAAACAAUCUGGAAAGAUUGGCCAUAGAAGGUGAUAGCCCUGUAUUUAAAAGGGCCACUCCAGUGAAGACGAGUAGGGCGGGGCACGUGAAACCCUGUCUGAAUAUGGGGGGACCAUCCUCCAAGGCUAAAUACUCCUGACCGACCGAUAGUGAACCAGUACCGUGAGGGAAAGGUGAAAGAACC
rnacentral:sRNA from 1 species